UCUGGUGAUGAUGGCGAGAAGGUAACACCCGUUCCCAUUCCGAACACGCAAGUUAAGCUUCUCAGCGCCGAUGGUACUGCUCGGGAGACCGAGUGGAAGAGUAGGACGUUGCCAGGU
rnacentral:rRNA from 1 species